AUAUAUAUAUAUAUAUAUAUAUUCUGAAUCGUAUUAAAGGAUUCAACUGCGACGCAGAUAGUGGAUAAUUAUAUCGUAAAACUCUCUUUUCAACGUUCCUUCCGUUUCAUAUUAUUUAGGCGAAUUUACAUAAUCGCACUUAACCACCCACCACUAAAGUCCAUUUCAUUUCAUUUAAAACGCUACAACUUAAAAAAAUAAAAAAAAAAAAAACGCGAUUUGUAAGUUUCACCUGCUGCGUUAUAAUACUGGUUGUUAAUUCCUGUUUGGGUCUCCUUCUCCUAACAGUUUCUACGCCUUAUUCGUAGGGGGGUUUUUUUUCACGUGACCGAAGCCUUCUAUUGAUUCCUUCGUAGAAGAGGGUGCAUGCGCACCCUCGUCGAUUAUCACUUUCAUCCCUCUCUCUCUCUCUCUCUCUCUCUCUCUCUCUCUCUACUCGUUCACAUAUAUUAAACACAUAUGCACCCCCUCUUUCCCCCAUCCCUUUCUUUACCCCUUACCCCUUGCCCCAUUUGGUUCUCGCAAAUACGAAGAGGGGGUUGAAACACGCUAAGGCGCUGACUUUGGUCAGCAGAACGUGCUGGGUGUCCAGUAGAAAUCCUCCUAGUGGUGGGAGCUUUUAAAGGGAGAAGGGGGUUGGAAGAAGAAUGGAGGGGAAAACGGUGGUUCGUAGUGGAGAAAUCCGACAGUGUCACUUCCGUGGUUGUUCCGUACGAUACGUUGAUUAUUAUUUAUCCAACGUUCUCGUCUAAAACUCUCGUCAUGAUUAAAUCGUCGCUUUGUUAAGGGUGGAAUCGUAGUAAAGGUCGAAGAAAAAAGGGCCUGGACCAUGUCAGGGCGAGGGGCGGAGUGGUGACCUAAAACUCAUCCCUCUGCGUCGAGACCAUCGAUGCUUACGCUACGGCUGGUGUCGACUCAUUUCUUGAAGCAGCCAUAGGCAGUGCCCUUUGCCUAAGAGAAAGGGCUCUAAAUGCGAUGUGCCGUGAUAGAGACAUGAACUCAGAGCUAAUCGAGUCAUACGAACUCUUGUUAACGUCGUCUUCUUGCUUCUACUCUCGUUGAAUGUCGCGUCGUAAUAAUCAUAAUAAUAAUAAUAAUAAUAAUAA